UUGCUAAGUAUUCUGAAAAGAAGGUACAAAGCAUAUUUAAGCAGUACCUACAUUUUGACCUGUUUUCUUCAUUGCUAUGUUAAGGACUUUCCUCAGGAAGGAUGAAAGAGGAUGGGUGCUAUCACACACUGCCUAAGGCAUUGAUCAACAGUUCUGCUGUUGGGGCUUCCCUCGUACUACGCUGCCAAAUAGCUGCAGAAGGACGUGGUGAUGGUGAAACUCUGAUCACCCCUCACUACCUGUGCUGUGCAGUUGCAAUCACUUCUAUCUCUGCCCUGUCACAAGGCUUGGCCUUUGCUCUCCAGAGCUGUUACCUCUGAGCAAAUAUCCUUCAGCAGUAUGCUUUGUACCAGCUGAGGAGCAGCUCUGUGUGCCUUGUGAAAUCCAGUUUGGCUACACAUAGCAUUUACAGAGUGAAUCUGUUUGCUUAAAUAGGUUUCUUAUUUUAUCACUACUUGAACAUUGGUAGAUGUUUGAGUGUCAAAGUCAGUUAUACUCCAGAGAGGAAGGUGGGA